AAACAUGAAUGUUUAAAAAUAUUUUAAAUUUGAAUUUACAUUCGGCAGAAAGGCCCUCUGUUUUCCUGGAAUCCCAUAAGUUAGGGGGUUCUUUGGGUGCAUUUACUCCUAUCCUUAGGCCCAUUAACAACAGUGUGUAAUUGGGAGUGAUAUAAGCGAAAGGGAAAAAGUCACUAGAAACCUUUGCCAAGUUAAAAUUGGCCCCUAAGCUAAUCACUUGAUGAGUGCUGUUCUGAAGGGCUCUGCUGCCACCUUGAAGCUCUGAUCUUGACUCAGAUCUUCUUCACCAGAAUUCCUGUGGUGACGCCCUGGCAUCUGCCUGACCACCUUGCUGGCACUUUCUUCCCACCAUGGAGGGCCAGGCACCUGGACAUGGCAAGAUCUGACAGCCUGCCCAGUAGGCAGUUAGGAACUCCUAGUUCUAUUUUCAGCCAUGUCUUACUGAGGAAUCCCCCAAGAGGUCUAACAUGAAAGACAACUUUACUUAGGCCCAUUACUGCUUGCUUGAUAUGCCUUAAGAAAUUACAAAUAUGAGAGAUCACACUCAUUAAGGCACAACAUGACGUGCUGUGAAAAACACAACAUAUGGUUAUUUGAGGUCUGAAAAGCCUAUUGAGUUUUAAAUUUUUCAUCUGAAUAUCCUUUGAUGUAUAAACGUAUCCUUUUAUAUUCUUUAAAAAACAGUGGUUUCUAGAUCAAAACCACAGAUGAAAACUUUCUCUCAAUGGGUAAAUAUCACCUGAAGAUAAAGUUGCUAGAUCCCUUUAAGGAGAUGAGAUGAAACACAUGGACACAAAGCAUUUUAAACACAGCUCCAUGAACCAGACAAUCUCAUAAUUACUCUUUAAAAUUUAGUAAACCCAUAAAAUUUGGAGAGACACUCCUUUAAAUGAAAUAGUUUUCAUUCCUAGUUAUAAUAGUUAUCAUGGAAGAGUAACUUUGUUCCACUUGAUUAAAACUGGUGACCCUUUAUAAAUUAUAUACAGCUGCCAUCAGGAAUCUAUUUUGAAAAAUAUUUGUUCAGAAUCAGCAGUGCUGCGGUAAAAUCCUUCAGAGCAGGGAUUAUGCAUGAAAUUUUCUGCUUACCUCUUGCUAACGAAACUAGUGCUAAAACGUAAGCGGUGAGGUUGAUUGUGAAGUAUGUAGACUUCGCUUUCUUCUCCUCCAUUAUUUGCCUGGACCUUUGUCUCCCAUCCCUAGGCCUUUAGCUAGAAUUUGUUUUGAAGCAUUUCUCUCUCUGUAGUAUUUUAGAUGCUCCAAUAAGAUAUUAGUUACCAAGUGCUAAUCUUCCCAUCUCAGUCAAUGCUAUUUUGCAUGCAAGUAACAAAAGCCUACUCAAACUAGCCUAGGCCAAAAGAGGAGAGUUUAUUUUACGGUUAUAGAAGUAUCUCAGGGAAGCUAAAGAACCCAAAUUCCACCAGGAGAUCAUUUCUCUGUCUUUCUCUCUCUCUGAGGCUACCUGGUCUCUCAUUUUUGCUUCUCUCUGCACAUCUGCUCCAUUCUCGUUUAUCUGCAAUGUAGCUCUCUCUACUUUUCUGUACACAGGGAGGACUGUGACUAACUCAUAGCCUCUGAGUUUAUUUAUCCCCAUUUCUAGGAACCAGCAAAGACUAUCAAUUCUGAAUCUCACUUCCAAAUUCCUGGGAGAGAGAUUCUGUGAGGCCCAGUUUGGGUCAGGUGUCUACCCCUAGUCCAGAUCAGUCAGGGGGUGAGGUGACAUGGCACACCUCUGGCCUAGAGCUUCUUAAAUUUAUUUGAACACAGAAUAUUAUCCACUCCCAGACCCUGGCUUUGGGGGAGGGUAACGUGAAGUACACCCAUUUAUAUCCUUCAGAAUAGAAUUCCUCAAGAUAUCAGUUUAGGAUGUUCUGAUCUGUUUUACUAUUUUAAUUUUAGGGGUGGGCAAACUUGGACCCAAAGAGACAAAAUAACUUGCUUAAGUUACCAAGAUAGUGGCAGAGUCGGGAUUAUGAUUUAGAGCUGAGAAACUUGACAUGCUAUACCUUUAUUCCAACCAGGAUACCAAGAAAAAGUAGAAUGGCCAAAUGGGCCAAAAGUAAAGAAUAAAAGUUGACUAUUUCCUUCCCCUCUCCUCAGCUAGUUUAUAAACUAACGCUUUUUAUCACAAGCAAGGUUGGAUUCAUUUCCUAAAGCUGCCAUAACAAGUUACCACAAACUUUGUGGCUUAAAGCAACAGAAAUUUAUUUUCUCAUAGUUCUGGAAGCCAGAAGUGCGAAACCAAGUGUUGGCAAAGCCGUGCUCCCUCUAAAAGGCUCUAGGGGCAAACUCUUUCUUCCUCUGCCGGCUUUUGGCGGCUCCAGGUUCUUUGGUUUGUGGCUGCAUCAUCCAAUCUCUGCUUCAGUCUUCACAUGGCCUUCUCUUCCAUUUCUUAUAAGAACAAUUGUCAUUGGCUUUAGGGCCCACCAAGAUAAUCCAGAAAAUUAAGGAUCUCACUUUGAUCCUUACUUUAAUUAUAUCUACAAAGACCCUUUAUCCAAAUAAGAUCACACAGGUUACAGGGGUGAGGAAUGGAUAUAUCUUUUGGGGGCCACCAUUGAAACCACUACAAAGGCCUUAUGAGGUAUCAUAAAGUACUUCAAAACACCAAGAGGGUGGCAAAAGAGAAGGGAUGAAAGGGUAAUGAUUUGGGAUUUUUCUUCUCAAAAACGAAGGAUGCAGAGUUGUGAAAGAAAAUGUAGUAGAAUUUGAAUAAAAUACAGUAUCCUAUUUUCCAGGAUGUAAAAUUUACAUUCCUAGAUAUUCCGUGAUUCAUUCAUUCAUCUAACAUUUGGGCCAUGCUUUUCAACCUAUCACACAAGUGUGGUGCGUUUUUCUUUGUAAAAAACCUUUCCUGACAAAAAAUUGUUUGAUAUGACAAUUCACAUAAUAUGAGUUUUGCUACACCAUCAUAAAAAUCAUUCUUUGAAGGGCUUCAUCAAUUUUCUUCUGGUGCUUCUCAAUCCUUCGGGAUUUAAAUCACUCUUUUUGGGAGAACAUAUUGUAUGCCAGAGACACUGGUGUUAAACUGAAAAUGAUGUUUGAGUGCAGACUAACUUUUUUAGAGGUGGGUUCAUUAGUGAAUAUUUUCAUCUUACAACGACUCUUGCUUUCCUCCACAAAGUUGUAUUUGCAGAGAUCUAGAGGAUGAAUAUUCUGAUAAAAAAAAUUUCUAUUGACAAAUGAGAAUAUGUCAAACAAGUAAGAGGAACAGGAAUUGUUCUGUUUGCACUGGAGAGGAGUAGACUUGAGCUGGAACAGAUGGAGGUGGCAUGAUACUGUUUAUAGUUCCUUACACAAUACUUUGCAAUUUGUAAGCUGAAUUAAACGGUGGGACUCAUAUGGAAAGAAGGAUUAGGCUGAAUUAUUCUAAAGGGAAAAUGUCUUAGAAGAAGUUGAAAGUACAGAGAGCCAAAUUUCUUCCCACUAUAAAGAAAGGGUUUCUGAUAGUUAGAAUUGUCCAUAAAUGGAAAGGGUCAUCAUGCAGAGUAAUAAGACAUCCACCAUUAGAAAUUUUUCAACCCUAGGCCAAUAACUCUGGGAUACACUAUUGGUGUCCUCACAUUGAUUUGGGGUAUAAGAGAGUGUAGGGUGGAGAGGCCAUUGGUUUGAAACUCUAUGCACUUUGAACUAAGACAAUGUACCAUAGAAUAGACCAAUUCAAGCCUGGAAAGAGAGAUUGUCUAUCCUUUCUCUUAUGUAGCAACUAAAUCAGCAGCAUCCAACAGAAAUAUGACAUGAAUCACAAUGUAAUUUAAAAUUUUCUAGUAGUCCCAUUAAAAAAGUGGAAAGAAACAGGUGAAAUUAAUCUUCAUAAUAUAUUUUAUUUAACCCAAAAUAUCUAAAAUAUUAUCACUUAAACAUGCAAUCAAUGCUAAAAAUUAUCAUAUAUUCUACAUUAUUUUUUCAUAACAAGUCUUCCAAAUCCAGUAUAUAUUUAUACUUAUGAACUAACCACAUUUCAAGUGCUCAGUGGCCACAUGUGGCUAUGGCUACCAUAUUGGACAGUACAGUUCUAGAAUAUGCUGUUCAUGAAAUCAUGAAUCACAUUUCUGGGAGUAAAAUAAAAAUCUUCAGGAAUGUGCACAAAAAUGGGUUCUGUAAUCCAGGGUCCCUGGCAUACUGGGGGAAGGGAAGUGAUGGGAAAACACUUCUGUUUAACUGGUGUACAUUCACACUUCCGUGGGUAACUUCUCCCAUAAUUUCCCUGCUUUUCCACCAAAACCUAAUAUUAAGCAAAUUAAAUAACUUUGCAAACCACUAAGUUUUCUUAUCAGCUUCUAACAGGCUUCACCUUUCUAAAAGCGGAACAGAAAAUAGCAGUCCUCUAGUACUUUUAUGUUACUCCUACUUUUUAGAAGUAUUUAAUAUUUAAUUCACUUAUUUAACUUUAUUCUUAAUUUAAUUCUUUUAUUUUAUUCUUUUAUUGCAGGAGCAACUGCAAUGACUGAUAAUACAGCUUUUACUGUUUACUAGCCGUGUCUCUUAGUACCACGGGAUUUAAAUACUCUCAGGGGAAGCUGCCUUGGAGUAUUUCCAGUAACGCAUUAUCUCUACGCAUCUCAUACAGAGGAGAAAGGAUAAGGAAAUCAUAAAGAUAAGUUGGGCUACCUUUGUAAUUACAAAAUUUCCCCAAGUCUCAGUCAAAAUAAUGAUAUUUUUUAACACCUCUGUAAAGAGUUCCUAUUAUUUAUUUACAGCAUUUAGAGAUUUGACAGAUAAACUAUAUAUAAAAGCAAAAUUAAAAUGAGACUUCUUCCAUAGUUAAUCCAUUUUAGGAAUCCACAAGCAUAUCAAACACUUAUAUUUGCAUCUUCACUCUAAGUAUAAUCAUGAGUGUGAAAACACCAAAGCAAGAGUUUGUCACAGGCUGGCAAGCAUCUCCCAAUACUUGUGACUCUCUUCUCCUUUCUCAUUACAGAAUCUCCGGAGUUUAAGCUGGGCACUUGGCUGCCCAGCUAACAAUCUCAGCUUUUCUUGAAGCCAGUUUCCUCCACAAACUUGUAUUAACUCCUUUCCAAUGAGAUGAAAGCGCCAACUGGAAGGUUUAUGUGAUGCUGGUGAAGCAGCUUCUCCCAUAGAGACGCCUACCAGGGGAUAGAAUAGCAACCUGAGUUCCUGGAUGACUUUGUGGAGUAGAAUUGCCUGUCAGCCCUGAAUCACCCACCUGCCUCUGAAUGUUAUCUGGGAGAGAAACAACUGUCCAUCUUGUAUAAAUCACUGUAUUUGGGAUCUCUUGUAGGAGCUUGUCUUAUACCAUCACUAAUACAAGACGUUAGCAUCCUCAUCACUAUCACUUGUACUAUGUUCAAAAGUUUUGUCUAUUAUUUUUAACCAUCUAGGUAUGAGACUAUCUCCUUAAAAGACAGGGAGACUUGUUUUUUGUUUGUUUUUUAACUUAGACGGUUUCUAUGAUUACUCACUUGGGGGAAUUGUUAGUAUGAAAUGAUACAAUACAGUAUUUAUAAAGUCUUUGUAAACUUAAAAGGUUUGCAAAUAAGAAAUUGUGUUAAUCUUGAGCUAACAGUCCGUUAAUGGUGUUUCUGCAAACAUUUUAACCAGCUAAGGUGGCCCACCUCCCAGGUAACAAUCCAGUCAACAGGCACUGGCUUCCAGAAUGAUUGGAUUUCGGGCAUUGUAAUAUAGCAGAAAGAGGGAUGCUGAAGCAUACAGAGACAUACAUCUUUUCAAUUACUCCAUGGAAGUGGCUGCUUACUUUCCUGUGUAUCAAGUUGGCUCUAGUUAUUUGGGAAACUGAUUCAGUUCACCACUUAAAGGAGACUUUAUAAAAUGGCCUCAUAAAGUGCUACUGUCUGAUUUCAUAUGUGUUUCACCUGUUAACAUAAAGGCAAACUAAUUAAACCUG